UAGGGGAUCUUCCGCAAUGGGCGAAAGCCUGACGGAGCAACGCCGCGUGAGUGAUGAAGGUCUUCGGAUCGUAAAACUCUGUUAUUAGGGAAGAACAAAUGUGUAAGUAACUAUGCACGUCUUGACGGUACCUAAUCAGAAAGCCACGGCUAACUACGUGCCAGCAGCCGCGGUAAUACGUAGGUGGCAAGCGUUAUCCGGAAUUAUUGGGCGUAAAGCGCGCGUAGGCGGUUUUUUAAGUCUGAUGUGAAAGCCCACGGCUCAACCGUGGAGGGUCAUUGGAAACUGGAAAACUUGAGUGCAGAAGAGGAAAGUGGAAUUCCAGGUGUAGCGGUGAAAGGCGCAGAGAUAUGGAGGAACCCCAGUGGCGAAGGCGACUUUCUGGUCUGUAACUGACGCUGAUGUGCGAAAGCGUGGGGAUCAAACAGG
rnacentral:rRNA from 1 species